rnacentral:rRNA from 1 species
UCCUGGCUCAGGACGAACGCUGGCGGCGUGCUUAACACAUGCAAGUCGAACGAUGAAGCCUUUCGGGGUGGAUUAGUGGCGAACGGGUGAGUAACACGUGGGCAAUCUGCCCUUCACUCUGGGACAAGCCCUGGAAACGGGGUCUAAUACCGGAUAACACUCUGUCCCGCAUGGGACGGGGUUAAAAGCUCCGGCGGUGAAGGAUGAGCCCGCGGCCUAUCAGCUUGUUGGUGGGGUAAUGGCCUACCAAGGCGACGACGGGUAGCCGGCCUGAGAGGGCGACCGGCCACACUGGGACUGAGACACGGCCCAGACUCCUACGGGAGGCAGCAGUGGGGAAUAUUGCACAAUGGGCGAAAGCCUGAUGCAGCGACGCCGCGUGAGGGAUGACGGCCUUCGGGUUGUAAACCUCUUUCAGCAGGGAAGAAGCGAAAGUGACGGUACCUGCAGAAGAAGCGCCGGCUAACUACGUGCCAGCAGCCGCGGUAAUACGUAGGGCGCAAGCGUUGUCCGGAAUUAUUGGGCGUAAAGAGCUCGUAGGCGGCUUGUCACGUCGGAUGUGAAAGCCCGGGGCUUAACCCCGGGUCUGCAUUCGAUACGGGCUAGCUAGAGUGUGGUAGGGGAGAUCGGAAUUCCUGGUGUAGCGGUGAAAUGCGCAGAUAUC